GCUGGGUGUGGUGGCUCACGCCUGUAGUCCCAGCUAUUCAGGAGGCUGAGGUGGGAGGAUCACUUGAGCCUGGGGGGUGGGGACUGCAGUGAGCUGUGACUGCACCACUGCACUCCAGCCUGGGCAAUAGAGUGAGACCCUGUCUUAA
ensembl:misc_RNA Metazoa_SRP Metazoan signal recognition particle RNA